rnacentral:tRNA from 1 species
GGCANNUGGCGGAAUCGGCAGACGCGCACGUUUGAGGGGCGUGUGGUAAUCCCGUACGGGUUCAAGUCCCGUCUCUCGCACCA